rnacentral:rRNA from 1 species
AAUCAACGCUGGCGGCGUGCCUCAGACAUGCAAGUCGAACGAUUAAAGCUCUCUUCGGAGAGUGUAUAGAGUGGCGCACGGGUGAGUAACACGUAAGUAAUCUACCCUCGAGUGGGGAAUAACGUCCGGAAACGGACGCUAAUACCGCAUAAUGCAGCGGCACCGCAAGGUGACAGUUGUUAAAGGAGAAAUUCGCUUGAGGAGGAGCUUGCGGCAGAUUAGCUUGUUGGUAAGGUAACGGCUUACCAAGGCUACGAUCUGUAACCGGUCUUAGAGGACGGUCGGUCACACUGACACUGAAUAACGGGUCAGACUCCUACGGGAGGCAGCAGUCGGGAAUUUUGGGCAAUGGGCGAAAGCCUGACCCAGCAACGCCGCGUGAAGGAUGAAGUAUUUCAGUAUGUAAACUUCGAAAGAAUAGGAAGAAUAAAUGACGGUACUAUUUAUAAGGUCCGGCUAACUACGUGCCAGCAGCCGCGGUAAU